GGUUCUGUAGCGCAGUAGGAGCGCGCCUAGUUGUCAGCUGGAAGGGCGCGGGUUCAAAUCCCGUCAGAACCGCCA
rnacentral:tRNA from 1 species